AAACAAGAUCAUAUACUAGAGAGCUGACUAACACACGGCAGCUCAUGUGGGAGAUCUGAGGGCCAGGAGACAUAGCAGCCUCACAAGGACGGUGGAGAUUUCAGAAGAACAAGGGCCUCUAGGAAUACACGUGGUGCUGUACUGUUCCUCUCUCAGCGGAAGAAAACCCUGAAUCAUCCAGAUGGACCAAAGACCCUCCACCGCUGAAGGUGAAGCCUGUGGAGUCCUCCUCAGGACAGCAAGCUGAGAUUCAAGAGUCCAACAGCAGUUUAGAGAGUUGCUCUCUGGCCUCCCCAUUACCCAUCAGGCUCUCACUCACCCCCAGAAGCAAAAGUGCUGACAGCCCUCUCCUGAAAAACGGCCUGGGACCAUCUCCUCUACAAAACCACAACAACAAAAAUGGAAAGAGGCUCAGUAUCAAUCUUAGGAAAAGGUCCUGAUGGUCUGGGCUUCACUGUUGUGACCAGAGAUUCUUCUGUACAUGGGCCUGGUCCCAUCCUCGUCAAAAACUGCUGUCAAAGAUGGCCACCUGAAGCCGAGUGCAUGUGCAUAUUCGGAAUGGUGUGGACUUCACUAAGCAGUGUGUUUGGUUGUGGCCAGACAGUAAGACAUGUUCCUUCCACGUGA
rnacentral:lncRNA from 1 species